GUUUACAAAUUUACAUAAUUAACAAUUGUGAACAAAAUAAAAUAAUGUGGAAAACCAUGAAACUAGACUCUGACCGUAAUCCGAUCUUUGGUGAUACUUUAAAACGACUUAUACCUGAAAAAUGGAAAUCAACAUGGGAUAAGAUAUGAAUUAUCUAAGUGGGCUUCCCGACGUGAGAUAAAAUACAAUCUUGUCAUUGAACAAGAUUUGUCAUGAGAUGUAAACAUAGUCAUGAAUUCAAAUAUAAUCGGUUGACAGACAUCAACUAUUUAUUUACUAUAAACAUAUUUAUUCAAUCACUUUCUCUUAACAUUAUACUUAUAAACAAUAUAAGAAAUCCUCUAGAAUAUCGAACGUGAGAAAACCUUGAUAACCAAAUUAUUCUAGAAAUCGUUAGGUAAGACGGAGAUAGAUUAACUCCGAUAAACGGUGCUUUGUUUACCCCUUCUUACACGUCCCGUCGUAGACGGAGAAUCCACCUAGCUAGGCUAAAUCCUAAGAUUUACACUCAACUUAUCAGUCAUCUAAACAAUUAUGAGACAUUAACAUAUUACUGACAAGGAAUGUCCAAUUUCACAUCGAAUUCACCUUUUGAUCAACCAUCAUCUUUUCAUGCAACUUUCAUCAUUUAAGACUUCUUAGAAAAAUAUAGAACAUGAAAGUAUACAUAGAUUAUAAAAACAUAAUUUUCUGCUAAACCAUCUGUUAAUCAAAGCCAUAAAAGACAUAUAAAUUGAAGUUAUAAUUUUUUGUAAAUUUUCUAAUGAUAAUCAAUACACAUACAACAAGAAUGCAUUUGGUCCCAUAUCCAAAUUCAAAGUAAUCAAUUCUCUAAAAUUUGUACACUAAAACUGAUAUGCAAAAACAAUUCCAGAACUGCAAUCCAUAAAACCAUCGAGUAAAUCACUCAUAUGAAAUCAAACAUUUUUUAAUAUUUUACUAGCCAAUUUUUAAAUUGAAGUUAUGCAAUUGGACCCGUCUAAAAAUUCAAAAUAAAUAAAUUCAUAAAAAUCAUGCACCGAAACUAUUUUAUUCAGGAAAUUCUAGUUAAUCCUUAAAAUUUCAUUUUCAUAUGCAUCAAGAAUCACUUCACCCAAAGCCCAAUUAAGUAGUUAAAACUAGGGUAAAUACCUCUUUUCGUCCGUCCUUAUAAUAUUAGUGAAUUCCGGUUUUAGUCCAUGUGAAAAAAAAAAGAUUUAGAUUCUGUCCCUGUAAUUUCAAAUUCUUCCACUUUUGGUCCCUCAUUUCACCACGUCAGCAGAAUCUGCAUACAUGGCACGUAAAAUGAGGGACAAAAAGUGGAGGAAUAUGAAAUUACAGGGAUCAAAAGUGGGAGGAAUCUGAAAUUACAGGGAUGUAAUUUAUGCAUAUUCUGCUGAUGUGAUGAAAGGAAGGACAAAAAGUGGAAGAAUAUGAAAUUACAUGGACAAAAUCUAAAUCUUUUUUUUACAGGGACUAAAACCAAAAUUCGUUAAUAUUACAUGGACGAAAAGAGGUAUUAACCCUUAAAACUAUGAACCUUUAAUUCAUUUUAUCAUUCACUAAUCAAUUUAGCAAAAACACACAAACUAAUUAAUGCAACAACUUUACUCUAAAAAUCUAACAUGCAUAAUGGACCCUUUACUUUGAGCAACUAAUUCCUAACCCCAUAACCCAAAAAUAGUAAAUUUAGGUUAUGCAUGAGGGAUGAGGAAAAGAGGAAAACCACCUCUAAUUGAUGAUGAUAAUUGCUUCCAAAGCUUGUUUCUCCUCUCUAUUUCUACUUGCUUUUGCUUCUAUUUCUUAUCUUUCUUGAAACCUUAAUUCCCUUUGCUCUAUAUCUUGAUUCCUACUUUCAGUUUCACUCAUCUAGAUUUUCUCCAUGAGAUUAAGCUAAACCUUCAGAUUGUAUGAUUGCAUGUGAGUUUUGAUUUCAGAAUUGUUGAGGAAUUGGUUAGAAUGAAGGUUUGGUAUGGAAGAGAGGGUGAACAACAUGAGGGAGUAAGAGAGAGAGG
rnacentral:lncRNA from 1 species